GAGUUUGAUCCUGGCUCAGGAUGAACGCUAGCUACAGGCUUAACACAUGCAAGUCGAGGGGCAUCAGUUUGGUUUGCUUGCAAACCAAAGCUGGCGACCGGCGCACGGGUGAGUAACACGUAUCCAACCUGCCUCAUACUCGGGGAUAGCCUUUCGAAAGAAAGAUUAAUAUCCGAUAGCAUAUAUUUCCCGCAUGGGUUUUAUAUUAAAGAAAUUCGGUAUGAGAUGGGGAUGCGUUCCAUUAGUUUGUUGGGGGGGUAACGGCCCACCAAGACUACGAUGGAUAGGGGUUCUGAGAGGAAGGUCCCCCACAUUGGAACUGAGACACGGUCCAAACUCCUACGGGAGGCAGCAGUGAGGAAUAUUGGUCAAUGGACGCGAGUCUGAACCAGCCAAGUAGCGUGAAGGAUGACUGCCCUAUGGGUUGUAAACUUCUUUUAUAAAGGAAUAAAGUCGGGUAUGCAUACCCGUUUGCAUGUACUUUAUGAAUAAGGAUCGGCUAACUCCGUGCCAGCAGCCGCGGUAAUACGGAGGAUCCGAGCGUUAUCCGGAUUUAUUGGGUUUAAAGGGAGCGUAGGCGGAUGCUUAAGUCAGUUGUGAAAGUUUGCGGCUCAACCGUAAAAUUGCAGUUGAAACUGGGUGUCUUGAGUGCAGUAGAGGUAGGCGGAAUUCGUGGUGUAGCGGUGAAAUGCUUAGAUAUCACGAAGAACUCCGAUUGCGAAGGCAGCUUGCUGGACUGUAACUGACGCUGAUGCUCGAAAGUGUGGGUAUCAAACAGGAUUAGAUACCCUGGUAGUCCACACAGUAAACGAUGAAUACUCGCUGUUUGCGAUAUACAGUAAGCGGCCGAGCGAAAGCAUUAAGUAUUCCACCUGGGGAGUACGCCGGCAACGGUGAAACUCAAAGGAAUUGACGGGGGCCCGCACAAGCGGAGGAACAUGUGGUUUAAUUCGAAGCAACGCGAAGAACCUUACCAAAUCUUGACAUCCCUCUGACCGGUCUUUAAUCGGACCUUCUCUUCGGAGCAGAGGUGACAGGUGGUGCAUGGUUGUCGUCAGCUCGUGUCGUGAGAUGUUGGGUUAAGUCCCGCAACGAGCGCAACCCCUAUCCUCAGUAGCCAGCAUUUAAGGUGGGCACUCUGGGGAGACUGCCAGGGAUAACCUGGAGGAAGGCGGGGAUGACGUCAAAUCAUCAUGCCCCUUAUGAUUUGGGCUACACACGUGCUACAAUGGCGUAAACAAAGGGAAGCGAGAUUGUGAGAUGGAGCAAAUCCCAAAAAUAACGUCCCAGUUCGGACUGUAGUCUGCAACCCGACUACACGAAGCUGGAAUCGCUAGUAAUCGCGGAUCAGAAUGCCGCGGUGAAUACGUUCCCGGGUCUUGCACUCACCGCCCGUCAAG
rnacentral:rRNA from 1 species